GGAUGAACGCUGGCGGCGUGCCUAAUACAUGCAAGUCGAGCGAACUGAUUAGAAGCUUGCUUCUAUGACGUUAGCGGCGGACGGGUGAGUAACACGUGGGCAACCUGCCUGUAAGACUGGGAUAACUUCGGGAAACCGAAGCUAAUACCGGAUAGGAUCUUCUCCUUCAUGGGAGAUGAUUGAAAGAUGGUUUCGGCUAUCACUUACAGAUGGGCCCGCGGUGCAUUAGCUAGUUGGUGAGGUAACGGCUCACCAAGGCAACGAUGCAUAGCCGACCUGAGAGGGUGAUCGGCCACACUGGGACUGAGACACGGCCCAGACUCCUACGGGAGGCAGCAGUAGGGAAUCUUCCGCAAUGGACGAAAGUCUGACGGAGCAACGCCGCGUGAGUGAUGAAGGCUUUCGGGUCGUAAAACUCUGUUGUUAGGGAAGAACAAGUACRAGAGUAACUGCUYGUACCUUGACGGUACCUAACCAGAAAGCCAC
rnacentral:rRNA from 2 species